UACAGAGGUCUCAAGCGUUGUUCGGAUUCAUUGGGCGUAAAGGGUGCGUAGGUGGUGCUGUAAGUCAGGUGUGAAAUCUCGGGGCUCAACCCCGAAACUGCACUUGAUACUGCAGUGCUCGAGGACUGGAGAGGAGAUUGGAAUUCAUGGUGUAGCAGUGAAAUGCGUAGAUAUCAUGAGGAAGACCAGUGGCGAAGGCGGAUCUCUGGACAGUUCCUGACGCUGAGGCGCGAAGGCCAGGGGAGCAAACGGG
rnacentral:rRNA from 1 species